rnacentral:rRNA from 1 species
GAUGAACGCUGGCGGCGUGCUUAAUACAUGCAAGUCGAGCGAACAGACGAGGAGUUUGUUGCUUUGUCGUUUGCGGCGGACGGGUGAGAAACGCGUGGAUAAUCCACUUCUAUGACUGGGAUAACUUCGGGAAACCGGAGCUUAUACCGGAUAAUAUAUUGAACCGUAUGGUUCAAUAGUGAAAGACGGUUUUGCUGUCACUUAUAGAUGGAUCCGCGCCGCAUUAGCUAGUUGGUAAGGUAACGGCUUACCAAGGCGACGAUGCGUAGCCGACCUGAGAGGGUGAGCGGCCACACGAGAACGUAGACACGGUCUAGACUCCUGCGAGAGGCAGCAGUAGUGAAGCUGCCGCAAUGGGCGAAAAUCUGACGGAGCGACGCCGCGUGAGUGAUGGAGGUCGUCUGGGCGUAAAACUCUGUUAUUAGGUAAGAACAAAUGUGUAAGUAACUAUGGACGUCUUGACGGUACCUGGUCAGGAAGCCACGGCUAACUACGUG